GACGAGCGCUGGCGGCGUGCUUAACACAUGCAAGUCGAACGGAAAGGCCCUGCUUUUGUGGGGUGCUCGAGUGGCGAACGGGUGAGUAACACGUGAGUAACCUGCCCUUGACUUUGGGAUAACUUCAGGAAACUGGGGCUAAUACCGGAUAGGAGCUCCUGCUGCAUGGUGGGGGUUGGAAAGUUUCGGCGGUUGGGGAUGGACUCGCGGCUUAUCAGCUUGUUGGUGGGGUAGUGGCUUACCAAGGCUUUGACGGGUAGCCGGCCUGCGAGGGUGACCGGCCACAUUGGGACUGAGAUACGGCCCAGACUCCUACGGGAGGCAGCAGUGGGGAAUAUUGCACAAUGGGCGGAAGCCUGAUGCAGCAACGCCGCGUGCGGGAUGACGGCCUUCGGGUUGUAAACCGCUUUCGCCUGUGACGAAGCGUGAGUGACGGUAAUGGGUAAAGAAGCACCGGCUAACUACGUG
rnacentral:rRNA from 1 species